rnacentral:rRNA from 1 species
GAUGAACGCUGGCGGCGUGCCUAAUACAUGCAAGUCGAGCGAACAGAUGAGGAGCUUGCGUCUCUGACGUUAGCGGCGGACGGGAGAGUAACACGUGUAUAACCUACCUAUAAUACUGGGAUAACUUCGGGAAACCGGAUCUUAUACCGGAGGAUAUAUAUAACGGCAUGGGUCAAUAGUGAAAUUGGGGUUUGGUGUGAGCUAGAGGUGGAUCCGCGCCUGAUUAGCUAGUUGGCAAGCUAACGGCUUACCAAGGAAACGAUGCGUAGCGGACCUGAGCGGGUGAUCGGCCACAUUGGAACUGAGACACGGUCAAGACUCCUACGGGAGGCAGCAGUAGGGAAUCUUCCGCAAUGGGCGAGAGCCUGACGGAGCAACGCCGCGUGAGUGAUGAAGGUCUUCGGAUCGUAAAACUCUGUUAUUAGGGAUGAACAAAUGUGUAAGUAACUAUGCACGUCGUGACGGUACCUAAUCAGAAAGCCACGGCUAACUACGUG